rnacentral:rRNA from 1 species
UACGAAGGGGGCUAGCGUUGUUCGGAAUUACUGGGCGUAAAGGGCGCGUAGGCGGUUUUACAAGUCAGGCGUGAAAGCCCCGGGCUUAACCUGGGAACUGCGCUUGAGACUGUGAGACUAGAGUACCGGAGAGGUGGGUGGAAUUCCCAGUGUAGAGGUGAAAUUCGUAGAUAUUGGGAAGAACACCGGUGGCGAAGGCGGCCCACUGGACGGUAACUGACGCUGAGGCGCGAAAGCGUGGGGAGCAAAC